rnacentral:rRNA from 1 species
CCUACGGGCGGCAGCAGUGAGGAAUAUUGGUCAAUGGACGAGAGUCUGAACCAGCCAAGUAGCGUGAAGGAUGACUGCCCUAUGGGUUGUAAACUUCUUUUAUAUGGGAAUAAAAUGUUCCACGUGUGGGAUUUUGUAUGUACCCUAUGAAUAAGGAUCGGCUAACUCCGUGCCAGCAGCCGCGGUAAUACGGAGGAUCCGAGCGUUAUCCGGAUUUAUUGGGUUUAAAGGGAGCGUAGGUGGAUUGUUAAGUCAGUUGUGAAAGUUUGCGGCUCAACCGUAAAAUUGCAGUUGAAACUGGCAGUCUUGAGGACAGUAGAGGUGGGCGGAAUGCGUGGUGUAGCGGUGAAAUGCUUAGAUAUCACGAAGAACUCCGAUUGCGAAGGCAGUUCACUGGACUGCAACUGACACUGAGGCUCGAAAGUGUGGGUAUCAAACAGGAUUAGAUACCCCGGUAGUC